UACGUAGGGUGCAAGCGUUAAUCGGAAUUACUGGGCGUAAAGCGUGCGCAGGCGGUUUUGUAAGUCUGUCGUGAAAUCCCCGGGCUCAACCUGGGAAUUGCGAUGGAGACUGCAAGGCUAGAAUCUGGCAGAGGGGGGUAGAAUUCCACGUGUAGCAGUGAAAUGCGUAGAGAUGUGGAGGAACACCGAUGGCGAAGGCAGCCCCCUGGGUCAAGAUUGACGCUCAUGCACGAAAGGCGUGGGGAGCA
rnacentral:rRNA from 1 species